rnacentral:lncRNA from 1 species
GAGAAAAUAUAUAUCACCAACAUACAGAAAAUGCCCCUGAGAAAUAGGCUGCACUUCCAGGAAAAACUGGUGACCAGUAACUGCACAAUCGGCACAUGAUCUGCUCAACUUUCCUACAAUUGGGCAACUGCCAAGAACCAAGCUGGAAGGCAUAGUCAGCAGAGAGACAAAUAAUGUGAGGCAACUCUAACAAUCUCCACCUUGACUCACAUUUAGUAGAUUCUCGUCAUUACCAUAAAAGCCUCGAAGGGCAAUCAAGUGUUGUAAACACCAGCUAAG